AGCAGCCGCGGUAAUUCCAGCUCCAAUAGCGUAUAUUAAAGUUGCUGCAGUUAAAAAGCUCGUAGUUGAAUUUCGGGAUCAAUAUGUUGGUCGUGCCUUGGUACGUACUAGCUCAUUGGUUUCUCCCUUCUGACGAACCAUGAUGUCAUUAAUUUGAUGUCAUGGGGAAUCAGGACUGUUACUUUGAAAAAAUUAGAGUGUUUAAAGCAGGCUCGCGCUUGAAUACAUUAGCAUGGAAUAAUGAAAUAGGACAUUUGAUUCUAUUUUGUUGGUUUCUAGGAUCGAUGUAAUGAUUAAUAGGGAUAGUUGGGGGCAUUAGUAUUCAAUUGUCAGAGGUGAAAUUCUUGGAUUUAUUGAAGACUAACUACUGC
rnacentral:rRNA from 1 species